ensembl:lncRNA
GAAUGACAGAAUGCACGAACUAGGCAGGCCUGAGAGCACGCUUUUAACUCGUUCGCGAAUCCUCACAGGAUUUUCUUUGUGUGUUAAUGGCCGUAAAGUCACACUGCUUGGCUUCUUGCUUGAAUUUCUGUGCUCGGUUCCUGGGAUCUAUCUGGGAGAUGCUCAAGAAGAUGCAACAAGUCUAUCACUGUGAACACAUAACAGAUAAACCUCCACAGAUGGUCCCCACUUUAAAUUGUUGGACUUAAGAUUUUUCCACUUUACGAUGAUGAGAAAACGGUAGGCAUUCAAUAGAAACCACAGUAGGAUUUUCAAUGUCAAUCCUUUCCUGGGCAGGCGAUUUGCUCUAGGACAUUCCUAAUGCUGAGAGGGACAGUAAGCCUGCUCCCAGUCAACCACAAGAUAAAGGGGGUUUCUCAGGAGGGAGGUAAUGUGGCCUGGUAUUCCCAUCUCAGUAAGAAUAGGAAGAGGAAGGUAACAGACAAUAAAUCAUUAAACAAAUGGCAAAUGGCACAAGUUAUACCAUUUCCUGAGAGAACUGAGAACUGUGAUGUGUUCUGCAGUUUAGAUGAAGAUCUGGUCUGAUAAGGGCCAAAGUAAGAAGUGGAAACUUUCUUUGAAUAUAGUGGUUGGUGGUCAGGAAAGUCUCUGCGGAUGUAACCUUUACUUGUGUCCAAAAUGAUGAGAAAGAACCAGCUAUGCAAAGAGCUGCGAAAGUGUCUUUGCAGAAGGAGGAACUGAAGGUGCAAAGUCCUAAAGUGGAAAACAAUUUGAUCAGUUUCAGAACAGAAGAGAAGCCUGCAUGAGAAAGAAAUCAAGUACUAUAAGAUGAAAUUACAAAACAAACAAGAGUGAAGGUCUUUUGGGCCUGAUGGGCCAUGGUAAGGAGCUUGAACUUCAUUUUAAGUCAAUGUACUGAUACAUAAUAAAAUGUCCUUGAUUGAAGAGACUGAAAUAAAAAGGAUCAAAAGAGA